rnacentral:rRNA from 1 species
UACGUAGGGCGCAAGCGUUGUCCGGAAUUAUUGGGCGUAAAGAGCUCGUAGGCGGUUUGUCGCGUCUGCUGUGAAAAUCCGGGGCUCAACCCCGGACUUGCAGUGGGUACGGGCAGACUGGAGUGUGGUAGGGGAGACUGGAAUUCCUGGUGUAGCGGUGGAAUGCGCAGAUAUCAGGAGGAACACCGAUGGCGAAGGCAGGUCUCUGGGCCACUACUGACGCUGAGAAGCGAAAGCAUGGGGAGCGAACAGG